rnacentral:rRNA from 1 species
UGCCUUACACAUGCAAGUCGAACGGCAGCACGGGGGCAAUCCCUGGUGGCGAGUGGCGAACGGGUGAGUAAUAUAUCGGAACGUGUCCAGUAGUGGGGGAUAACCCGGCGAAAGCCGGAUUAAUACCGCAUACGCUCUACGGAGGAAAGGGGGGGAUCUUAGGACCUCCCGCUACAGGAGCGGCCGAUAUCAGAUUAGGUAGUUGGUGGGGUAAAGGCUCACCAAGCCGACGAUCUGUAGCUGGUCUGAGAGGACGACCAGCCACACUGGGACUGAGACACGGCCCAGACUCCUACGGGAGGCAGCAGUGGGGAAUUUUGGACAAUGGGGGCAACCCUGAUCCAGCAAUGCCGCGUGCGUGAAGAAGGCCUUCGGGUUGUAAAGCGC